rnacentral:rRNA from 1 species
UACGUAGGGGCAAGCGUUGUCCGGAAUCAUUGGGCGUAAAGAGCGUGUAGGCGGCUUGGUAAGUCCGCUGUGAAAGUCCAGGGCUCAACCCUGGAAAGCCGGUGGAAACUGUCAAGCUUGAGUCCGGAAGAGGCGAGUGGAAUUCCUGGUGUAGCGGUGAAAUGCGCAGAUAUCAGGAGGAACACCAAUGGCGAAGGCAGCUCGCUGGGACGGUACUGACGCUGGAGACGCGAAGGCGUGGGGAGCAAACAGG